GUAGUGUGUACGCAGACCUUACCCCUAACCUGGGGUAGUGAGGCUGUUUCCAAAUAGACCCCCGGCAUCCUUCCCUCCAAGAACUUCCCACCUUGCUCUUGGGGAGACUCGAACUCACAACCUCUCGGUUGGAAGUGGGAGUUGCUUACCAUAAUAGCAACCCCUCUUGUCAAAUCUAAGAUUACAAGAUGUACUUUUUUACAAUAACAACAAUCCAGUAUAAUCUCACUUAGUGGGGUCUGGGGAGGGUAGUAUGUACUCAGACCUUACCCUUACCAUAUGGUAGAGAGGCUGUUUCCAAAUAGACCCCCGACAUCCUUCCCUCCAAGAACUUUCCACCUUGCUUCCGAGGAGAUUCGAACUCACAACCUCUCGGUUGGAAGUAAGAAUUGCUUACCAACAACCUGUCGUGUCUUUUCCUUUUUCACCUCCUCAAAAACAAUUUGUCGACAGAGAAGGGACUGACAACGGUUGUUCCAAAGAAUAUGGUUCUUGAAAAACCAGCUGCUUCUGACGACGUCAUACAUAUCAUUCGAC
rnacentral:lncRNA from 1 species